CACGUAGGCGGGUCGUUAAGUCAGGGGUGAAAUCCCGGAGCUCAACUCCGGAACUGCCUUUGAUACUGGCGACCUUGAGGCUGGAAGAGGUUAGUGGAAUUCCCAGUGUAGAGGUGAAAUUCGUAGAUAUUGGGAAGAACACCAGUGGCGAAGGCGGCUAACUGGUCCAGAUCUGACGCUGAGGUGCGAAAGCGGUGGGGAGCAAACA
rnacentral:rRNA from 1 species